UGCGGAGGAUGCGAGCGUUAUCCGGAUUUAUUGGGUUUAAAGGGUGCGUAGGCGGGAUGCCAAGUCAGCGGUAAAAAUGCGGUGCUCAACGCCGUCGAGCCGUUGAAACUGGCGUUCUUGAGUGGGCGAGAAGUAUGCGGAAUGCGUGGUGUAGCGGUGAAAUGCAUAGAUAUCACGCAGAACUCCGAUUGCGAAGGCAGCAUACCGGCGCCCUACUGACGCUGAGGCACGAAAGCGUGGGUAUCGAACAGG
rnacentral:rRNA from 1 species